rnacentral:rRNA from 1 species
AUUGAACGCUGGCGGCAGGCCUAACACAUGCAAGUCGAGCGGAUGAAGGGAGCUUGCUCCUGGAUUCAGCGGCGGACGGGUGAGUAAUGCCUAGGAAUCUGCCUGGUAGUGGGGGAUAACGUCCGGAAACGGGCGCUAAUACCGCAUACGUCCUGAGGGAGAAAGGGGGGGAUCUUCGGACCUCACGCUAUCAGAUGAGCCUAGGUCGGAUUAGCUAGUUGGUGGGGUAAAGGCCUACCAAGGCGACGAUCCGUAACUGGUCUGAGAGGAUGAUCAGUCACACUGGAACUGAGACACGGUCCAGACUCCUACGGGAGGCAGCAGUGGGGAAUAUUGGACAAUGGGCGAAAGCCUGAUCCAGCCGUGCCGCGUGUGUGAAGAAGGUCUUCGGAUUGUAAAGCACUUUAAGUUGGGAGGAAGGGCAGUAAGUUAAUACCUUGCUGUUUUGACGUUACCAACAGAAUAAGCACCGGCUAACUUCGUG